rnacentral:lncRNA from 1 species
AAGAAGUCAGGCCGGAUUAAGCCAUAGUACGGUAAGAGCUAUGCUGCCUGUGAGCCCCGUCUAAGGACGUAAAAUGAAGUCAGGCCGAAAGCCACGGCUUGAGCAAACCGUGCUGCCUGUAGCUCCAUCGUGGGGAUGUAAAAACCUGGGAGGCUGCAACCCAUGGAAGCUGUACGCAUGGGGUAGCAGACUAGUGGUUAGAGGAGACCCCUCCCGAAACAUAACGCAGCAGCGGGGCCCAACACCAGGGGAAGCUGUACCCUGGUGGUAAGGACUAGAGGNNNNAGGAGACCC